rnacentral:rRNA from 1 species
GGCGCUGCGUGCUGGUUGAGAGUUGAUUGAAAAUUGAAUAGUGCGAUGUAAACCUGAAAAUGACUUUGAUAAGACGGAAGUCUUACAGUAGUCGAAUAAAUAAAGCUAAAUCAGAUAUCUCUGAUAAAAUUUUUAUUUUACGGAGAGUUUGAUCCUGGCUCAGAACGAACGCUGGCGGCAUGGAUUAGGCAUGCAAGUUGAACGAACUCCUUCGGGAGUGAGUAGCGAAAGGGUGAGGAACGCGUGAGUAAUCUGCCCAUAAGUUGGGAACAACAGUUGGAAACGACUGCUAAUACCGAAUGUGGCUAUUGACCCGCAUGGGUUUUUGGCUAAAGAUUUAUCGCUUAUGGAUGAGCUCGCGUCCCAUUAGCUAGUUGGUGAGGUAACGGCCCACCAAGGCUACGAUGGGUAGCUGGUCUGAGAGGAUGGUCAGCCACACUGGGACUGAGACACUGCCCAGACUCCUACGGGAGGCUGCAGUCGAGAAUCUUGGGCAAUGCGCGAAAGCGUGACCCAGCAAUGCCGCGUGCAUGAUGAAGGCCCUCGGGUCGUAAAAUGCUGUCUCCCGUGACGAAUAAUGACGGUAGCGGGGAAGGAAGCCACGGCUAACUACGUGCCAGCAGCCGCGGUAAUACGUAGGUGGCGAGCGUUGUUCGGAUUUAUUGGGCGUAAAGGGUCUGUAGGAGGUUUGUUAAAUACGAGGUGAAAUCCGGGGGCUCAACUUCCGAAUUGCCUUGUAGACUGAUGAACUAGAGUACUGGAGAGGUAAGCGGAAUACCAGGUGUAGCGGUGGAAUGCGUAGAUAUCUGGUAGAACACCAAUAGCGAAGGCAGCUUGCUGGACAGAAACUGACUCUGAAAGACGAAAGCAUGGGGAGCAAACAGGAUUAGAUACCCUGGUAGUCCAUGCCGUAAACGUUGUCAACUUGAUGUGGGCGGAUUUAGUCCUGUCCGUAUCGAAGCUAACGCGAUAAGUUGACCGCCUGGGAACUACGGCCGCAAGGCUAAAACUCAAAGGAAUUGACGGGGGCCCGCACAAGCGGUGGAGCAUGUGGCUUAAUUCGAGGCAACGCGAAGAACCUUACCUGGGCUUGAAAUAUACCGGACCGGCUGUGAAAGCAGUCUUCUCUUCGGAGCUGGUAUACAGGUGCUGCAUGGCUGUCGUCAGCUCGUGCCGUGAGGUGUUCGGUUAAGUCCGGCAACGAGCGCAACCCGUGUCAUUAGUUGCCAACAGGUAAUGCUGGGGACUCUAAUGAGACUGCCUGUGUUAAGCAGGAGGAAGGCGCGGAUGACGUCAAGUCAGUAUGGCCCUUACGCCCAGGGCUGCACACGUGCUACAAUGGGGGGUACAAUGAGAAGCGAAGUCGCGAGGCGGAGCAAAUCUACAAAACCUCUCUUAGUUCAGAUUGCAGUCUGCAACUCGACUGCAUGAAGUUGGAAUCGCUAGUAAAUGCGUAUCAGCUACGACGCAUUGAAUACGUUCCCGGGCCUUGUACACACCGCCCGUCACAUCAUGGGAGUUGAUUGCACCCGAAAUCGGUGAUCUAACCUGCAAAGGAAGAAGCCGCCUAAGGUGUGGUCGAUGACUGGGAUGAAGUCGUAACAAGGUAGCCGUAGGGGAACCUGCGGCUGGAUCACCUCCUUUCU